UACGGAAGGCAGCAGGGGGAAUAUUGCACAAUGGGCGCAAGCCUGAUGCAGCCAUGCCGCGUGUAUGAAGAAGGCCUUCGGGUUGUAAAGUACUUUCAGUCGUGAGGAAGGUGUUAAGGUUAAUAACCUUAGCAAUUGACGUUAGCGACAGAAGAAGCACCGGCUAACUCCGUGCCAGCAGCCGCGGUAAUACGGAGGGUGCGAGCGUUAAUCGGAAUUACUGGGCGUAAAGGGCACGCAGGCGGUUAAUUAAGUUGGAUGUGAAUCCCCGGGCUUAACCUGGGAAUGGCAUUCAAGACUGGUUAGCUAGAGUCUUGUAGAGGGGGUAGAAUUCCAUGUGUAGCGGUGAAAUGCGUAGAGAUGUGGAGGAAUACCGGUGGCGAAGGCGGCCCCUGGACAAAGACUGACGCUCAUGUGCGAAAGCGUGGGGAGCAAACAGGGAUUAGAUACC
rnacentral:rRNA from 1 species